rnacentral:rRNA from 1 species
AGCGAACGCUGGCGGCAGGCCUAACACAUGCAAGUCGAACGAAGUCUUCGGACUUAGUGGCGGACGGGUGAGUAACACGUGGGAACGUGCCUUUAGGUUCGGAAUAACUCAGGGAAACUUGUGCUAAUACCGAAUGUGCCCUUCGGGGGAAAGAUUUAUCGCCUUUAGAGCGGCCCGCGUCUGAUUAGCUAGUUGGUGAGGUAAAGGCUCACCAAGGCUACGAUCAGUAGCUGGUCUGAGAGGAUGACCAGCAACAUUGGGACUGGGACACGGCCCAAACUCCUACGGGCGGCAGCAGUGGGGAAUCUUGCGCAAUGGGCGAAAGCCUGACGCAGCCAUGCCGCGUGGAUGAUGAAGGUCUUAGGAUUGUAAAAUCCUUUCACCGGUGAAGAUAACGACUGUAGCCGGAGAAGAAGCCCCGGCUAACUUCGUGCCAGCCGCCGCAGUAAGAC